CAUGUCCUUUUGAUAUUAAUUUAAGGUCUAAUCUGCUCAAUGAAUAUUAAAUAGCCGCAGUAUUUUGACUGUGCAAAGGUAGCAUAAUAAUUAGUUUCUUAAAUGGGAACUGGUAUGAAUGAUUGGACAAGAAAGUUGCUGUCUCUUUUUAAAAUUUUUUGAACUUUAUUUUUAAGUGAAAAAGCUUAAAUUUGUAUAAAAGACGAGAAGACCCUAUAGAGUUUAAUAUUAUUAUAUUAAUUAAAUUUAGAAUUUUAAUUAGUUAAAUUUUAUUUAGUUGGGGUGACUUAAAGAUUUAAAUAAUUCUUUAAAUUAUUAAUUGGUGAUUUCUAAAUUUUGAAUCUAUAAUUUAUAAAUAAAAAACAAAUUACCUUAGGGAUAACAGCGUAAUUUUUCUUAAAAGUUCUUAUUGAAAGAAAAGUUUGCGACCUCGAUGUUGGAUUAAAAUUAAUUUUUGGUGCAAUAACUUAAAAAUUAGGUCUGUUCGACCUUUAAAAUUUUACAUGAUCUGAGUUUAAACCGGUGUAAACCAGGUUGGAUUCUAUCUUUAGAAUAUUAGUAUAUUUUAGUACGAAAGGACCAAAUAUAUAUUAAAUUAAUUG
rnacentral:rRNA from 1 species